rnacentral:ncRNA from 1 species
UUAGUAUAUUUAAUAUACUCAGAAUUGGUACAGACAAGGGGAAUCUGAAUGUUUAAUUAAAACAAAGCAUUGCAAUGGUCUCUGUGGAUGCUGAUGCAAUGUGAUUUCUGCCCAGUUCUCUGAAUGUCAAAGUGAAGAAAUUCAACCAAGCGAGGGUAAAUGACGGGAGUAACUAUGAAUCUCUUAAGAUAGCAAAAUUCCUCGUCAUAUAAUUAAGGACACACAUAUAUGGAUUAAUGAGAUUCCCACUAUCCCUAUAUACUAUCUAGUGAAACCACAACCAAGAGAACGAGCUUGGUAGAAUCAAUGGGGAAAGAAGACCUUGUUGAACUUGACUCUAGUUCGAAUUUUUGAAAUGACUUGAGAGGUGUAGAAUAAGUUGGAGUUGUUUUCGGCGCAAGUGAAAUACCACUACUUUUAAUUUUAUUUUACUUAUUCCGUGGGGAAGAGACGAGGCAUUGCCCCUGUUUUUGGCCUUAAGACACAUUUUGGUGGGUUGAUCCAAGUGGAAGACAUUGUUGGGUGGGGAGUUUGGUUGGGGUGACACAUUUGUUAAAAGAUAAUGUAGGUGUCCUAAGAUGAGAUCAAUGAGAACAAAAAUAUCAUGUGGAACAAAAGGGUAAAAGCUCAUUUGAUUUUUAUUUUCAGUACAAAUACAAAUCGUGAAAGCAUGGCCUAUUAUGAAAAUGAAGUUAUUUUGGCCUUAGAUGGUGGUGUGUGCUUUCUCAAUGCAUAGCUUCAUUUGUAAUGCUACUUAAAUUAAUGCAUAGCUUCACUUGUAAUGAAUAACAAGAAGCACAUGAACUUCCGGCUACAUGCCUAUAAGUUUAGCUUCUCCUGCACCUUCCAUCAUUUUCCACCAACCUCUUGAUCCUUAU